CAAGAGAAACAGAUGGGAGAGUCCCUGAGAUGGCAUUCAGUUGUGCGUGCGUGCGUGCGUGCGUGUGUGUGUGCGCGCACUUGGUCGCGCAUGAGGCCCUGUGUGUUUAUAUAAGUGGGGGAACAUGGACAUGUUCACAUGCGUGUGUUGAGAUCCAAGGCUGACCUGUCUUCCUCUAAGAUAGAUUCUUCACCUUAUUCAUUGAAGCAGGGUCUCUCAGUCGAACCCAGAGAUCACAGGUCCGGGUUGGGAUUGCUAAACAGCAGGUCCACUAGCCAGUUUACUCUGAGGAUCCCAUCUCUGUUUUUGGUGCAAGCUUCCAGGACCACAGCCGAUUUAUGUGGGUACUGGGGACCUGAACUCUGAGCCUUGCACUUGCUGAACUCUGAUCCUGGUUUGUUGUUGAGAAUAGUCUCUCACCCUGCAGCCCAGAUUAGCCUCAAACUCAUGGCAACCCUCCUGCCUCAGCUUCAUGAGUGCUGAGAUUACAGGGGUGAGCCACCAAACCUGGCCUUUAGUCCCCUCUCUCUCCAGUCUGGAGAGACAAAAUGGUCUCCAGAGGAGCCAAGGCAAGACUCUGUGGCAUGUGUCUGUGGUAGCACAAGGGGCAUUAGGAGCAAGAGGAAGGGGAGAGAGAACUGCCCAGGAAGAUGGACAGGAAUUGGAGGCUCUGACAGAAGAAAUCCCCAUUGGAUCUCAGAGCUGGAGUUCGCCCGGUGUGGGAGGCUGACGUCUUUCACACCCGGGCACCCACUGAAGCUCAUUGGAUGGGUUGUCUUCCCACAUCUGGAACAUAUAUAGACCAGGCUGGCCUGGAAUUGACAGGAUCUUCCUGCCCGUGCCUCUCCAGUGCUGGAGUUAUAGGUUUACAUCAUCACAUCCGGUUACAAAUUCCUUUUCCUCUCCUCCCUCAAUUCUCUCCCUAUGUUCCAAGCCAGCCUGGUCUAGAGAGAUCCUCUGCAAGCUGAUUCAGCUGACCGUCCCAUUCAGGAGGCUCACCAUCCUGAAUCUGGGCCGACUUAGGACUUGCAGUGACCAAGAGAACUUGGUAGAUGUAGCCCUGAAAAUUCUCGUCCUUGGGAGGCAGAGGCAGGAAGGGUCUGGAGUACAGGGCCAGCCUGGGCAAUAUAGUAAGAUCAAAGCUGGGAUAUAUCAAAAGCAAGACCCUGUCUGAAAGACAAAAGAUCUCUCUCUCUCUCUCUCUCUCUCUCUCUCUCUCUCUCUCUCUCUCUCUCACACACACACACACACACACACACACACACACACACACACACACACAUACACACACACACACACACACACACACACACACACACACACACACACACACUGGGGUGGGAAUGUCUGUAGCUAGAGUGCCUGCCUAGCAGGCAUGAAGCUCUGAGUUAGGUCCCCCGCACAGCAUAAACUGAGUGUGGUGGUGAAUGCCUGCAAUCCCAGUGCUUGAGAUCAAGGCAGGAGGGUCAGAAGUUUAAGGUCAUCCUCAGUUCCAUAGGGAGAGCAGUAGGAGACCAAGCUGCGGAGGGAGAGGUGUUUUUGUUAGAAAUAAUCUAGUAAGAGUCACAAAGCCCAGGCUUAGAGAUGCCUAACAGCUUCCUGUGUGCCAUCUGCCACCCAGAGACUGUUGGUAAAAAUACCCAGAAUAGCCUCUUUGAGGCACCUGCCACCCAUCCUGUGAUGGAGGCCACCUUGAAUCUCAUACUUUAACUGAGCCCCAGGUGGCCCCAGUGUAAACCGAGAGAAGUCUGCCCACCUGACUCAGUCUAAACCUCCCACCCACGAUCUGAGUAAAUAGCGAGUUCCCCCCACCGUUUUUGUGUUCGGAGACAAGGUCUCACCAUGUAAGUCAAGCUGGUCUUGUACUCCUAACCCACCUGCCUCAGCUUCCACAGUGGUAUGGUUACGAGUGUACAGCACUGCCCCCGGGCUCUCAGCCGUCAUUUUUCCACAUUCUGAGUGGUGUGUUCCGCCGUGACGUCCUGGCUCUGUCACACGCCUAUGCCAUUUUCCCCUAGCAUCCCUGUGGCUGGGUGUGGCCAUGUGACUGACUGGGGGUCAAUGGCUGUAGUGCUGGAUAUAAUUCUUCCCACCUUGUCUUUCUCCCCUACAACUGAGCACAAGUGUGCACAUCUACAGGGCCAGAACAAUCCAGGAAGCACAUGGAAGAGCGGGGCCUCACAUAAGAGUGAGCUCCACAGCUGCUUGUCCCCCAUGGCCCUGCCUGAGACGUAUUUUUAUUUUUAUUUUUUAUUUUAUUUAUUUAUUUUUUUGGUUUUUCGAGACAGGGUUUCUCUGUGUAGCUUUGCGCCUUUCCUGGAACUCGCUUUGGAGACCAGGCUGGCCUCGAACUCACAGAGAUCCGCCUGGCUCUGCCUCCCGAGUGCUGGGAUUAAAGGCGUGCGCCACCACCGCCCGGCGUAUUUUUAUUUUUAGACACGGUCUCUCUAUACAGCCCUGCCUUACCUAGAAUUUGCUCCAUAGAUCAGGCUGGCUUAAAAGUCACAGAGAUUUACCUGCCUCUGCCUCCCGAGUGCUGGGAUUAAAGGCAUGCACCACCACAUCCGACUUGGUGGUGCACACCUUUAACCCCAGCACUCGGGAGGCAGAGGCAGGUGGAUCUCCGAGUUUGAGGCUAGCCUGGUCUACAGAGUAAGUUCCAGGACAGCCAGGGCUACACAAGUAAACCUUGUCUGAAAACAAACAAAGUCUGGAAAACAAAUAAAAUAAAAUUUUAAAAGGUGUGCACCACAAUGCCCAACUCAGAUUGAGUUUUUGUUAGCACAUUAAGAGUUUGGGAUUAUUUGUGACAGCAGUUAGCCCACCUUGAAUAACUAUUAGAAGAACCAAUGACAGGACUGAAAGGUAAUAUUGGGCUGAGGGUGUGGCUCAAUGGUAGAGUCCCUGCCUAGAAUCCCCCAGUGAGGGGCUGGGGGCGUGGCUCAGUAUUUCCUUGACCUGGGCAAGGUCAUGGGUUCCGUUUCCAUUAGCAAAGAAAGGAAGCUGAAAGCCAACCCUAACAGCAUCAGUGCCCCCAGAAGCCUCAGUUUCUUUCCCAAGGUAACAGCACUACCAUAGCUACCACUGAUGAGCAUGUGCUGCUGGAGCUCCUGUGGUAAGGGCACUGCCAUGUCCUUCCCGACUGAUCUUCACAAUGCAGAAAAGGGGGCUCGCUUUCUUUCUUUCUUUCUUUCUUUCUUUCUUUCUUUCUCUCUCUCUCUCUCUCUCUCUCUCUCUCUCUCUCUCUCUCUCUCUCUCUCUCUUUGUUUUUGUUUUUCAAGACAGGGGUUCUGGUGUAGCCCUGCUGGUUGUCCUGGAACUUGCGCUGUAGACCAGGCCGACCUCAAACUCACAGAGAUCCUCCUGCCUCUGUCUCCUGAGUGCUCAAAUUAAAGGCGUGCACCACCACUGCCUGGCAGUGGGGCUCUAUUUCAAUCCCUGUUUUCCCAAUUCCCUGAUAAUGAAUCUGUGCCAGAGACUGAUCUCAGAGCCUCACAUCUCAAGUCCCAGUGUGUAGGUGAGGAAAUUGGCCAUAGUCAAAACUGCCAAAGGCAGGAGCCUCUGACCUUCUGGCCUGCCUCCACAUCCCUUCCGGCCAUCUGGGUAAAUGUCCAGCACUGGUGAAGGGUUCUGGACGAUGUUGUGAGAGGCUUGCCAUGGCAAGAAGCUAUAUUGGGUUUUUUUUCUAUCUGUUUGCUGAUUUCUCAUCUCACUAGGUUGCCCAGAGGUUCUGAACUUCAGGACUCAGGUGACGUUCUUGUCUCAGCCUCUCUGGUUCUGGAAUUAGAGACAUGUUCUACAGUGGAUGGCCAGUUAUUUGGCCAGAAUCUAUUUAUUUAUUUAUUUAUCUUUCAAUUUUAUUUUAUAUAUACAGGUGUUUUUUGCCUGCCUGCAUGUGAAUGCACCAUUUGUGCAUCUGGUGGCCACAGAGGCCAGAAGAGGGCAUCUGAAUCCUGGAACGGGAAUUACAGACAGUUGGGAGUUGGUGUGGGUGUUGGAUAUGAAACCUGGGUCCUCUGGAAAAGCAGCCAGUAUUCUUAACCACAGAAACAGCUCUCCAGUCUCUGGAUUUAUACUUAUUUACCAUUUAGGUGUGUGUGUGUGUGUGUGUGUGUGUGUGUGUGUGUGUGUGUGUGUGUGUGCAAGUACUCAUGUGUGAGUGUCUGCACAGAAUCCAGAGGAGGGCAUUAGGAUUGAAUAUCCCCUCUGUCACUCACCCACCUUAGUCCUUUGAGGCAAGGAGUCUCCCUGAACCUGGAAUUCACGAUUUGCCUUGGUUUUUCCUGUAGCGUGGCAGCCUCCACUUCCUGAGUGCCACGAGAUAGAUAUGAGGCACCGUAGCCAUUUCAACUCUCUUUAAAUUAUUAAUGGCUGGGCAUGGCAGAGCACACUGGUAAUUUCUGCACUAGGGACGAUGUGGAAGGAGGUUUUCCAGUCCAUCCAGGGCUAUAUUAAAAGCACCUCUGCUUCGAAGAAACAAAACAACAAAAUAAGCCGAGCGAUUCUCCUUGUGUCUUCCAUUCUGCCUUGUAGUGGGUUGUCCGGUAUGUGCAGCCCUUGAGUGUCAGGGAAGUUUCUGGGCCUGGUACCCAGAGAUAAGUCAGAUGAGGUCCAGGCCCUUAGAAAAUCUUUACCAUUUAUAAGGAACUAGCCACAAAUCAAUGUAAUAUUCCAUCAGAAGUGUUAGAUUCAAGGGAUUCCUUCUGUAGGAUAUAAGCAGGGACUGCUGGCUUCCCAUCUCAACAUUCUUCCACUUAUCGUCAAGAAAGCCUCAUUGUACUUUACGGUUGUUCCCUGCCCAGCGAGAUAUUUCUGACUCCCUUGCAGCUAGGUAAAGUCAUGUGAUAAAGUUUAUUCUAAUUAGACCUAAGCAAAAAUAUCAUACAAUCAUUUAUGGAGUACUUCCUAAUAAAGGGGGAAAAACCCUUUUUUUCUACUGGGACACCCUCACGCAUCCUGGAAACAGGACGGGAUUGUGGGAUGCUGGCAGCCAUUUUGGGUCCCAGUGACAAAGGAGUGAUGGAAUCAAGAGUUGGAAGUGUCCGGGUCUUUGGUGGUGAUGUGGAGUGGACACACUUUCCAAUUCUGGACUUUUUUUUUUUUUUUUAUGUUGGUGAUGUCUAAACCACCCUUUGGAUUUUAUCUAGUGUCUCCCAGAAUGACAAACGCAACACAUUCAAUCUUCACCUCAAAUAUUUUCUUCCCUACAUUUUUAUAAGUGCAGUAGGUGCCGCAAACCAUCCACUCAGUUGCUCAGGCCAAAAGACGACAAGCCACCCAAGUGUUCGACCUCUUCCUCAGCCCUGACACCCGUCCCUCCAGCAAUGUCUGCAUAUUUUACCUCUUACACGUGUCGGAAUCCAUGUGGCUUUGUCUGUCUCCCAGAAUCCUGGCCUCAUCUCUCAUCUGGAUCUCUCCAGAAGCUAUCUGUGGGUCUCAACUUCCAAGCCUGCCUCUCAUGUCCAGGCUGACCUGUAACACAUGACUGUCUUGACUUUGCCUCCUGAAUGCUAAGGUAACAGGCAUGCCACCAUGCCCAGAUUAUAUGGGUUUUUCUUUCUUUUUUCUCCUCCUCCUCCUCUUCUACUUUAUUUUUCAAGACAGGGUUUCUCUGUGCAGCCCUGGCUGUCCUGGAACUCACUAUGUAGACCAGGCUGGCAUCAAACUCACAGAGAUCCACCUGCCUCUGCCUCCCAAGUGCUCGGAUUAAAGGUGUGCGCCACCACCACUCGGCUGCUUCUUUUUUUAGGUACAGUCUUACUGUGUAGCCCUGGUUGACCUGGAACUUGACAUGUAGAUGAGGCCUGGGUUAAAGGUUUGUACCACUGUACCUGACUAGGGGGACUCUUUUACAUUUAAGAUUUAUUUUAUUUUUUCAUUACGUGCAUGAUGUGUCUGUGUGUGGGUAUGUGCACAUGCUGCAGGUGCCCUAGGAGACCAAAGGGUUUGGAUCCCUGGAAGCUGGAGUUACAAGUGAUUUUGAGCCACCUCACCUGGGGGCUGGGAAUCAGAACUCAGGUCCUCAGCAGGGAUAGUAUGUGCUCUUAACCACUGAGCCAUUGUUUUGCUGUUCUUUUCUUUUCUUUUUUUGGUUUUUUGAGACAGGGUUUCCCUGUGUAGUUUUGGAGCCUGUCCUGGAUCUCGCUCUGUAGCCCAGGCUGGCCUCGAACUCACAGAGGUCUCUGCCUCCCAAGUGCUGGGAUUAAAGGCCAGAAGGGGCGUCAGCUCUCCUGGAACUGGAACAACCGCUGCAGAUGGUUCUUAGCUGCCGCGUGGGUGCUGGGAAUCAAGCCUUGGUCCUGCACGGGUAACGAGUGCUCUUAACUUCUGAACCAUCUCUCCAGCUACCCUCUCACCCCAUAGAUGCAUGGGACUCAGGGGACUAGAGAUGUUUCCGUGGAUAAAAUGCUUGCUGCUUAUCAAGUGCGAGGCCUGAUUUCCAGCAUACAAAUAAAGCAGGCACGCACCUGUAAGCCAGGGGCUUGGGGUGGGGCGGGGGGGGGGGGUGCAGACAGGAGGAUCCCCAGAGUUUACUAGUCAGCUACUCUAGCCAAAUUGGUAUGCUCCAGGUUCCUUGAGAGACCCUGGGUCAAAAAAAGCGGGGGUUGGGGAAGAGGGGCAAGCGAAAGAGCUCAGUGAGUAAAGGUGCUUGCUGCUAAGACCCACAACCUGAGUUCGAUCACUGGGACCCAUGUGAUGGAGGGAGAGAACCAGUCUCUGCAGGUUGUCCUCAGACCUCCAUGAGUGUCAUAACACCUGCCAUCAACUCCCCCCCACACACUCAAAUAAAUAAAUACACGUAAUUUUAAACAUGCAGGGGCUGGAGAGAUGGCUCAGAGGUCGAGUGCACUGGCUGCUCUUUCAGUGGACCCGGGUUUGAGUCCCAGCAUCAACACGGUGGCUAACAGCCAUCUGUAAACUCUGGUUCCAGGGAACCUUUUCUUCUGGACUACGAGAACACCAGGUACAUAUGGGUGCACAGACAUACAUGUGACCAAAACACCCUCGCUCAUAAAAUAAAAAUGUAAGCAAAUUAAAAAAAGAGAGAGAGUCAGGUAUGGUGGCACAAUGGUGGCAUAUGUCUUCAAUCCCAGCACUCAGGAGGAAUAGGCAAGUGGAUCUCCGGGAGUUUGAGGUCAGCCUGCUCUACACAGUGAGUUCUAAGCUAAGCAAAGGUGACAGUGAUGCUCUGUCUCAAAUGAAAUAAGCAUAUAAGUAAAAGCACAAACCGAGGUGGAGAGCAGCUGAGGAGGUCACGUGACCUGGAUCUCUGGCCUCCACACACGUGCACAUACAUACAAAUGUUCACACACUAACAUGUACACACUCAGACACACAAAGAACCUGCUUACAGUAUUAUCUUCCAUGCCUGCCUCUCACACCCAGGCUGUUCUUGAACACAUGACCUUCCUGCCUUAGCCUCCUGAGUGAUGUGUGGACCACCAUGCCCACGUUAAAAUCAGCCAACAGGGCUGCGGAUGAUUGGGCCUUUGCCCAGUGGUGUGGAAGACCUCAAAGCCCACCCCAGCCCAGCAGCGCCAGCAGCAUCCAGCCCUCCCACGGCAGCCUAUCACAAACUCCUGUGUGGGCCCUUCCAGGUACCGAACAGGCCCAGGUGUCACCCCUCUCCUGUUCACUGCCCUCUAGACUAACUGGCCUCAGUGUCCCUCAAGCACAUUGAAUUUGCUCCCCCCUCAGGGCCUUCGCAUGUACUUCCCUCUGCCUGGUUGUCCUCUUCUACAACUCCCACCAUCUUAGGGCUGUCUUCUGUGCUCCUUCAGUGACCUCUGACCUCCUCCAAAAGACCUUCCCUCACCCUCUGUCUCUUUGCCUCCAAAACACUUUCUGUCUCCUUCCCAUUGGUUGAUGUAUUCUAUGGAAAUAACAUCGAGGCUCUACGAAGGUGAGUGUGUGACCAACUGAGGUUAAGGCUCCACACACCCACACACACCCAUACACACCCAGUCAAGAAGUAUGCAUAGCCCUCAGUCGCCAGGCAGGAGGAUCAGUGGUUCAACGUCAUCCUCCCUUAUGUAUCUUGUUGGAAGCCAGCUUGGGCUGCAGGAGACACUGUCUCAGAAAUGCAAAUCUGGGGGAGCGGGAGAGAUGGACGGUUCAGCAGUUAAGAGGGUCGCCUGCGACUCUUGCAGACAAUCUGAGUUCAGUUCCCAGCACCCUCAACAGACAGCUCACAACUUCCAGGAGCUCCAGGUCCAGGGGCCCUGAUGCCUCUGGCCUCUGCAGGCACCAGCAUUUGCAUAUACAUAUCCUGACACACACAUAAUUUAUAAAAAUAAGUCUUUUAAAAACAAUAGCAGGAGGGCUGGAGAGAUGGCUCAGAGGUUAAGAGCACCGACUGCUCUUCCAGAGGUUCUGAGUUCAAUUCCCAGCACCCACAUGGUGGCUCACAACCAUCUGUAAUGAGAUCUGGCACCCUCUUCUGUAUACAUAAUAAAUAAAUAAAUCUUUUAAAAAAAACAAAACAACAGCAGGAAUGGAGAGAUGGCUCACAGAGGUCAGGAGCACUUGCCAUUCUUCCAGAGGACCUGAGUUCAGUUCCCAGCGCCCACAUCAGACCGCACACAACUGCCUAUGAAUCCAUCUCCAGGAGACCCGAUGCCCCUUCUGACUUCUGAAGGCACCUGCACACACACACACACACACACACACACACACACACACACUCACACACAUGCUCACACAUACAGUGCAAAAUUCACCAGGCGUGGUGACACACGCCUUUAAACCCAGCGCUUCAGAAGCAGAGGCAGAGAGAUCUCUGUGAGUCCAAGGUCAGCCUGGUCUACACAGUGAGUUCAAGGCCAGCUAAGGCUACAGAAUAGAGAGACCCUGUCUCAAACAAACAAAAACAAACAAACAAAAAACAAAACGAGGCUGCAAGAUGGCUCUGUGGGUAAAGACAGCAAGCCGAGUUUGAUCCCCAGGACCCACAUACACAAAAGAAAUAAAUGACUAUAACAACAAAAUUUUAAAAAUUAAAAACAGAACAUUUAGAGAGCUUGCAGAAAGUGCUACACUACUCAGGUAGGAUCUUGCUUGGGCUUCCAGACAAUUACGAACCGCAGCUUUAUUUUGGUUUUCUUUGAGACAGGGUCUUACCACGCAGACCACACUACGCUAAAACUCACUAUAUAGGCCAGGCUGGCCUUGAACUCUUGAACCUCCCACUUCAGCCUCCCUAGUGCUGGGGUCACAGACAUGCUCUGCCACACCCUGCCUGGGGAUCUCAUUGUAAAUGCCAGGCAGAUCCCAGCUCCAUCUCUUGCCAUCCAUGUGACCUUGAGGAAGUGCCCCAACCUUUAUUAGCAGAGUCCACGCCAUCUGUGAGAUGACCGAGAUGCCAGAGAUAGCUUCGCAGGAGUCAGCCUUGCACCCAACACUCCAGAAGAGGCCUCUUUGAUGGCUGUUAUUACAGGUUCUGGGAACAAGCCAGGCCUUAUGAAAACUAGUCUGCAUGGUCAAUACUUUAAAAAAAAAAAAAAAUCUUGCUGGGUAUGGGGGUUGUAAUACCAGCAACCUGGAGGCAGAGGCAGGAAAGAUCUCUGAGUGUGUGAGGCCAGUCUGGUUACUUAGAGAGUUCCAGGCCAGCCAAGGAACACCUUGCCUUAUAAACCAAAAUCCCCAAAUAAUAAUCUUGUGCUGGGAUGUAGCUCCUUUGGGAGAGUGCUUGCCUAGCAUUUCUUGAAGUCCUGAGUUUGAGCCCUGCUAUUGCAUAAGCUAGGCAUGAUGGUGCAUACCCAUAAUUCCAGCAUUUGGGAGGUAGAGGCAGGAGGAUCAAGAGUUUAAGGUUAUCCUUGACUAAGCAUCGAGUCUGAGGCCAGCCUGGGCUACAUGAGACACUGCUUCAAAAAACCAAACAAAACAAACUCCAACCAAAUGAAGUCUUAACAACUAUCUCGCCAGCCCUCACAGCUAAUAUGAAGUUAGCCCCCAUUUUACAGAUGUGGAGAGUGAGGUAUCCAAGAGGAGUUAGUGACAAAGUCUGCCAUUUCCUGGGAGCUAUGAGGACCCCCAUAUCCACCUCUCCCAUUUUCCAACUGCUCUCUGCUUGAGGGUGCAGAUGGGGCGUGGGGGGGCUUUUGUUGAAUUCCCUCCCCCUCCUGAAGAGUCAGUAAGCGACCGUGUUUCUGCCUGGAAUACUAAUUGGCCCAAGGCUUUUGUUUCUGGUUGGGGGGGUGGGGGCGGGACUUUCUGGUCAGAGAGGGGCUGAGCUUUUGGGACUGGGGCAUGGACUUUGAAAUGGUGUUGACAGCCAGAAGUCAUCAUGGGGACUGCGCUUGGAGACAAGUAGAGGGGAGGUUCUGGAAAAGGGGUUGUCAGGGGACAUGGAGAGACUCAGCAUCCUCUACCCUAGACUCACAAACACAGGCAACAACUGUCCCAGGCCCAGGAACCUCCUCCCUCAGACCCAGGGCUCCGGGGUAAGCCCUCUUCCCUCAGACCCAGGGAUCCAGGGCCAGCCCUCCUCCCUCAGACCCAGGGGUCCAGGGCCAGCCCUCCUCCCUCAGACCCAGGGGUCCAGGCCCAGCCCUCCUCCCUCAGACCCAGGGGUCCAGGCCCAGCCCUUCUCCCUCAGACCCAGGGGUCCAGGCCCAGCCCUCCUCCCUCAGACCCAGGGGUCCAGACCCCAGCCCUCCUCCCUCAGACCCAGGGAUCCAGACCCCAGCCCUCCUCCCUCAGACCCAGGGGUCCAGACCCAGCCCUCCUCCCUCAAACCCAGGGGUCCAGACCCCAGCCCUCCUCCCUCAGACCCAGGGGUUCAGGCCCAGCCCUCCUCCCUCAGACCCAGGGGUCCAGGCCCAGCCCUCCUCCCUCAGACCCAGGGGUCCAGACCCCAGCCCUCCUCCCUCAGACCCAGGGGUUCAGGCUCAGCCCUCCUCCCUCAGACCCAGGGGUCUAGGCCCAGCCCUCCUCCCUCAGACUCAUGAGACAGGGGUCCACAGUGCACAGCUGGUGGAUGUUUCCACAGAGACUAAGCAGGAUGGGGGAGUACUUCCUGGGUCCUGAGUCAGCGAAUACCCAAGGGAGUCUCAAGGUCACAGUUCUGGGAAGGUCAUAGCCACCCCCUUUGUAUCCGUUCCCCAGGGGGCCCCUGGAACCAUGCCUCUUUCCUUUUCCCUCCCCUGGGAAGCUGGUACAUUCCUGGGUCCUGCCUGAACCCCCCCUCAGCCCCCCCAUCAAUGGCGGAGUCCGAGCAUCGCUGCACAAAGCAUCAAUUCUUCCAGCAGACCAGCCUUGUGAAGGCGCCUGUAUUUGCAGGACCUAGGCAUCAGGGUCCCAGCUCAACCUCCCUCAGAAACCCCCAGCCCCUUUCUCCUCAGCCAAGAGUCUCAGCUUCUCUUCCUCAAACCUCUGACUUAGACCCCAGUCCUCCUCCUUUAGACCCAGGGGUCCAGGCCGGAGCCCUCCUCCUUCAGAUCCAGGGGUCUAGGCCCAGCCCUCCUCCCUCAGACCCAGGGGUCCAGACCCCAGCUUCCCCCCUCUGACACAGGGGUCCAGACCUCAGUCUCCUCCUCUGACACAGGGGUCCAAACCCUAGCCCCUCCUCCCUCAGAUACGGAGAUCUGAACCCUGGCUUCUCCCCUCUUGAAAACUUUGGAUUCCUGAACCAUGAUCCUGCCUUCUGUCCUUUGUAUCCUGAGUGUCUGGGGACCAGGGCCUUAGGUGGGGGCGUCUAGGGGUGAGUCAGCGGCCUAACACAAAGUCUUCCCUGUGGCCCCCACGUUCCUGGGAUACUCAGGACUCCCUGGAUUCCAGGCUUCUGGCCCAGCCAGGGGGUGAGGAGUCCCUCAGAGGGUCACCCUGAGCGUGGGGUUCCCGGAAGAAUGCAAGCUUCCUUUCAUUUUGCUUCGCCAAGCCUCGGCCACAGUUACCCUUCUAUAUCUUCCUCCACGAAGCCCCAGCAGCCCAUCCCACUACCCUGGGUGUCCACGGAAAGGCCUAGGUGCCCAGUGUCUACAGGCAGAAACCAUGGGUGCUCGGGCUCUGGUGCCAUGGGCCAUUGGAUGCUGGCGGGACUGGCUACAUCCAGCAACCCCCCCCAACACACACACAUACACCCAGAGAGAGAAAGCUGCCUUUGUGUUCCCCGAGUCGGGGACAGGCCAGGCUCGCACGACAUUAACCCACCCCUGGGCCCUAGCUCCGCUGGGUCUAAGGUCUUGGAAUCUGUGGAGGAACCUAACCUCCGCCCCCACACGGGGGGGACCCAGGCAUCCAGUCCAUGAGUGGGUCGGGGUCAGUGAUAGAUAUCUCCCAAGACCCAUUCUUUGGGGUGAGUCACGAUGAAAGGAGGGUCCCUCUAUGCCCUAAGUGGUUGCUUAGAGCUGUUAACAGGGAGAAGUGAGUCACCCUAGAAGGGAAACUUAACUUGGGAUCAACAAAGUCCCCCUCCACAGGGCUCCCCAAGUCUUAAUAACCUCUUUAUUCUUUCUCAGGAUCUACAUAUCAGCUUCCUGCUGCGGGUCCAGUCUCCUGUUGUGGGUCCCCCCACCCCAACCCCACGUGCAUCUCUGUGGUCAACUGCCCUGUAACGUAUUUCUAUCUACCUUUUUCUCUCAACAUCAGCCUCAUUCUCCUCUUCCCACAUUCUCCACAGAUGAGUGAGCCAGGAAAGACGGGAUACCUUGUUUCUUUUUUUUUUCUUUUCUUUUCUUUUGUUUCUUUUUGAAAGGCACAAAUAGAGGCUCCAGUCUCCCCGUCCUGCUGCUGGCUGGGUAAGGAGAUGUAGGGACCAUUGAUACUUCCUAAAAAUGGGUGGUCAGGGACCUUCAUAAAGACUCAAUUAAAAAAAAAAAAAAAGCUGGACA